rnacentral:rRNA from 1 species
UGGGGAAUAUUGGACAAUGGGGGAAACCCUGAUCCAGCAAUGCCGCGUGUGUGAAGAAGGCCUUCGGGUUGUAAAGCACUUUCAGUGGAGAAGAAAGACCUAAGGAUAAUACCCUUGGGAGGUGACGUUAUCCACAGAAGAAGCACUGGCUAACUCUGUGCCAGCAGCCGCGGUAAUACAGAGAGUGCAAGCGUUAAUCGGAAUUACUGGGCGUAAAGCGCGCGUAGGUGGAUAUUUAAGUCGGAUGUGAAAUCCCUGGGCUUAACCUAGGAAUUGCAUCUGAUACUGGGUGUCUUGAAUGUGGUAGAGGGAAGUGGAAUUUCCGGUGUAGCGGUGAAAUGCGUAGAUAUCGGAAAGAACACCAGUGGCGAAGGCGGCUUCCUGGACCAACAUUGACACUGAGGCGCGAAAGCGUGGGGAGCAAACAGG